rnacentral:rRNA from 1 species
AUUGAACGCUGGCGGCAUGCUUUACACAUGCAAGUCGAACGGUAACAGGUUAAGCUGACGAGUGGCGAACGAGUGAGUAAUGCAUCGGAACGUGCCCGGGCGUGGGGGAUAACGCAGCGAAAGCUGCGCUAAUACCGCAUACGAUCUAAGGAUGAAAGCGGGGGACCGUAAGGCCUCGCGCGAUCGGAGCGGCCGAUGUCAGAUUAGGUAGUUGGUGGGGUAAAGGCUCACCAAGCCAACGAUCUGUAGCUGGUCUGAGAGGACGACCAGCAACACUGGGACUGAGACACGGCCCAGACUCCUACGGGAGGCAGCAGUGGGGAAUUUUGGACAAUGGGCGAAAGCCUGAUCCAGCAAUGCCGCGUGCAGGAAGAAGGCCUUCGGGUUGUAAACUGCUUUUGUACGGAGCGAAAAGGUCUCCUCUAAUACAGGGGGCUCAUGACGGUACCGUAAGAAUAAGCACCGGCUAACUACGUGCCAGCCGCCGCCGUAA